AGAUGAAGCCUUUACAUAAGGCAACAUUUUUUAUGAUUUAUAAUGUAAGGCAACAUUUUUUAUGAUUUAUAUUCCCAUUUGCUUUCCAAAGGGAUCUAAGGUAGCUUAUGAGAUUAACAGGUUACAGAUUGUAUUAUUUCUAAGUUGUACAAGGAGUGAGAAAGUAAUGUUCAGAGGCUUAGGAGAGGUGGGUGAAGGUGCUCCCUGGCAGGUUUGGGGUUUGAAUUUUGACCAGACAGUCACUUUUCUUGACUCUCCUGCCCUACGCUGGCCUAUGUGACUUACCAGGAUAUCCGUGCUGUUGGCAACUUUAAGGAGCAGACAGUGAUUGCCGUCAAGGCCCCUCCGCAGACGAGACUGGAAGUGCCCGACAGGACUGAGGACAACCUGCAGAUAUAUCUCAAGAGCACCCAAGGGCCCAUCGAAGUCUACCUGUGCCCAGAGGAGGUGCAGGAGCCGGACAGUCCUUCCGAGGAGCCUCUCCCCUCUACCUCCACCCUCUGCCCCAGCCCUGACUCUGCCCAGCCCAGCAGCAGCACCGACCCUAGCA
rnacentral:lncRNA from 1 species